UAGUAUGUUGGAGUAGCCAUAUGUACUCUUAGGGGUUACAAUUUGGAUCCACGACAUGCGUGGGAAGUUGGACAAUACCAUUGGGCUCCACAUUCCUAAUAUCAAACUCAUUGGGUUGUGAACUUCUUGUGUUAAUUUUAAGCCGAUUGUUUAUUCCACAAUCAAAUGGAGAGAUCCAUCAGAAAAGUGUAUAUGCCUGAAGGUUUAAUGCUGUUUCUAAAAAAUUAUCGUUGUUACUUGUUAGUCCUUUGGGAUAUACGAGGUUUCGAGGUUUCUGAUUUUGCUGUUACGUGAGGUGUUUAAUACGUCAACUUUUGUUUUUACUGUCAUUUGUCCAUUCCUCUGCAGAUAUCAAUAACCAUAGUCGUGCAAAAGUUGUAUGCACACAGCUGUAAAUUUACUUGAUUUGGCUAGUAGUGCGUGUUAAUGAAAUGUAUAGUGGUUAUAUACGUGAAAUAGGUGGUGUUAAGCAACAGAGAAAUAGUAACAUAAGAUUAAGUAAGAAAUGCGGUGAGAGGACAAGAUAGGAAAGAUAUAAAAAUAAUUGUUGGCGUGCAAGGUUGAAAAUCAAUUUCAUUCAAGCUGCAAUAGAUGUUGAGGGCAUGUCAGAGUUUAAUCCCUUGUGCUUCACAAGAGUAAAUACACACAAUCACCGUAUAUAUUGAUUCAGGGUUUUGUUCUGGAGCAUUAUCUUCACCAUAUGGUAAGGUUCCUCGGCACACCGUACUUUCACUCAAUGGUUGCAAGAUCACUGGCAUCGCUAUCGGAUGUAUCUGUCAUUAUUGAUCCUGAAACCAUUCUCUUGCCUGACUUCAUCUCAGCUCUAAAUUAUGCUCACAAACUCGACCAUGAUUGGCUCCUUGUUUCUUCCUCAAGACAUGUCUCCUACUUCCCUUUUCACUUAGAUAAAGAUGGGAAACAUUGGCUGGGAGAGGAUGGCAAACAGAUUAAAACCAGAAAGUUGCAGGGGUUUCUUGAUAAGGCUUGGAAGUGGAAGCAUUGUGAAGAGAGGAUGCUUCUGGCUUGGAACAAUGGAGACCUUCCUUUACAUAGUGGAGUGCUUCCUCCUUUCUUGUUUGGAAAAGGGCUUCACAACAGCUGGGUUAUUAACGAGGCCUUAUCAUCUAAAUAUAGAUUUGUAUUUGAUGCAAGUUUGGCCAUCUCAAAUUUCUAUCUAAACCCUCUUGAUCAAGGGUCUUAUCAAUCGUUUGGAGUUUCCAAUGUUACGAAUAGUGGAAACAGAAGCUGGGAGAGUGUAGGAAAUUUGCAACUUGGGUCUCUGUAUGGAGCAUUAUAUUUCCAUGAAGCUAACUACUCUAACAUGGUUAAAUUUUGCAUGAACAAUGGGCAAUAUGUUUUCGUGAAUUCCGCAGAAGCUACUGCUUACCCAUUUGGAAACCAGAGGUCUUUGACCUUAAUGAAGGAAAAGAUCUUGGGAUCCAGGAAAGGGAAGAAAGUUGCAGAUUGUGUUAAUGGUUUCAAAUCACUACAUGGUACCAGGGACUGCUAUGUGAAGGACCAAUUGAAGCCCUCAAAUUCACUAUCUCUUCCUUACUCUUUAGAAAUGCUACUUUCUGGGCUUUCAGACAAGAAUAGAACAGUUGUUCUAGCAAUUGCCGGAUAUAAUUACAAGGAUAUGCUAAUGAGUUGGGUCUGCAGAUUAAAAAGUCUCCUCAUCUCAAAUUUUCUGGUUUGUGCUCUUGAUCCUGAAAUAUACGAGUUUGCUAUUUUACAGGGCCUACCUGUUUUCAAGGAUUCACUUGCUCCAACCAACAUCAGCUUUAAUGACUGCCACUUUGGAACGCAAUGCUUUCAAAGGGUGACCAAAGUGAAGUCUAGAUUGGUUCUGCAGAUACUGAAGCUGGGUUACAAUGUGCUUCUGAGUGACGUUGAUGUCUAUUGGUUUAAAAAUCCAUUGCCCUUUCUUUACUCUUUCGGGCCUUCGGUACUAGUGGCACAAUCUGAUGAAUACAACCAAACAGGACCCAUAAACGUACCUCGACGCUUAAAUUCUGGGUUCUACUUCGCUCGUAAUGAUGGCUCAACAGUCGCUGCACUGGAGAAGGUAGUGAAGCAUGCAGCGACGUCCAAUCUCUCAGAGCAGCCAAGUUUCUAUGACACAUUAUGUGGGGAAGGUGGAUCCAAUCGUGUGGGCGAUGACAGGUGCUUUGAACCUGAAACCAAUCUGACUGUCCAUUUUUUGGACAGAGACCUUUUUCCAAAUGGUGCAUACCAAGGUCUCUGGGAGGGAACAAAUCCAAAAGCGAUUUGCAAGAAGAAGGGCUGUUUCAUUCUCCACAACAACUGGAUCAGUGGUAGGAGGAAGAAGUUGGAGCGCCAGGUUUUGUCAGGCCUUUGGGAAUAUGAUGUUAACUCAAGGAUGUGUGUGCAAAGUUGGCAAAAGGCUAAAGUCACUAGUUAUUUCUGAAACUUGCAGAUGCUUCUUGUCUACUUGUUUAUUCACGUCAAGGAGAAAAAUACAAAGGAGUAGUAUUAUUCCUCAGAUGACAUCGCAUUUCUGAUAAUAUUUGGAUUUAUCACUGGUCUCAUCUAACAAAUCUUUAAAUAGGGAGCCGGCCAAGAUGUUUUUCAUAGGUAUAUGCUCAAAUAAUUUCGAAACGUCUUAAUCUAUGAUCGACUUCACAUCUUCCGGUGACAUGGGAUUUCAAUGCUACUGGUGAAAGCUAGGGGGGAAGAGGAGAAAGGAGAAAUAGUGAGGAUUCGGGGAAGAGAAAGAGAGAGGAGAAUAAGCAGAAGAAGAGACAAGCCAGAGCGAAACAACUGGAGUUGGGGUUGCUGGCUAUGCAGAAGAUAUGGGCUGUUUGUUCGGGUCAGUACAGUACAGCUACAGAGAAUCCAAAAGAAAGGAAAAGUAAGAAUAUGCUAUCAUUUUGGUGGACUGGAGUGUGCAAUUAAAGGGUGUCAGUGAGGAUAAUCCAUGCGGGAGGGCAUGGAGAGUGAUAUCAAAAUGCGGAUCCUGCAUCCGUGUGGAUGGAAAAAUAUCCAGGGAGGUGUGUAGCCAGAUCACAAGUCUUCAAACAAACCAAUGAAUCUCUUAUAUUGCCAGAAGAAAAGCUGUUGUGUAGACAAGAAUUCCAUUGACAAGUGUAUCUAAACUGGAGAGCAAGUUAGAAAACUGCAAGUGACAGAAUCUGCUGAGGGUGAAGAAGAGGUGUCGGAUGUGAGGGUUGUUGGAUGGAGGUGGUGAGUGUUUGGAGGAUUCAGUUUGUCCGACAAAGGACGUCUACGGGUCCAGAGAAAGUUGGACAAGGUGUUUGUCGAGAAAAUGCCAAAAGAGAAGAAGCCCUUUGUACCCCAAUCCAAAAGCCAAAAAUGUGAGGGGCACUGGAGUGGGAGCCCAGCCUAAAUUCCAUACAGGAGAUCUCUCCGUGAUUUGUUUGUCUGAGAUUUGCUCAAGUAAGUCUUUAGCUGUACUCUUUCAAAUCAUAUUCUACUUCUGGCAUUUGUUUAGACCCUCCGAAUGGAUGUGUAUGUUUUUCGGCUAAAUUUACUUCGGGGAUUAUUUCCAUUUUCACCUGUUCUUUGUCGGAUGAAAGAAAUUCUCCUGUAGUUUAGUGGGAUCCCAGAUUUUCGAGUAGUCCAAGUUGUUAUUGCUUAUACCAGAUGUGCGCAUCAAGAUUAUAUGAAGAAUACUGCUAUGCAUACAGAAGAUCAAUACUAAAAUGAUGUGAAUGACUUGCAGACAUAUCAUUUCGAACAA